rnacentral:rRNA from 1 species
GAUGAACGCUGGCGGCGUGCUUAACACAUGCAAGUCGAACGGAAAGGCUCCUGCUUGCAGGGGUACUCGAGUGGCGAACGGGUGAGUAACACGUGGGUGAUCUGCCCUGCACUUCGGGAUAAGCCUGGGAAACUGGGUCUAAUACCGGAUAGGACGAUGGCUUGGAUGCCAUUGUGGAAAGUUUUUUCGGUGUGGGAUGAGCUCGCGGCCUAUCAGCUUGGUGGUGGGGUAAUGGCCUACCAAGGCGUCGACGGGUAGCCGGCCUGAGAGGGUGUACGGCCACAUUGGGACUGAGAUACGGCCCAGACUCCUACGGGAGGCAGCAGUGGGGAAUAUUGCACAAUGGGCGCAAGCCUGAUGCAGCGACGCCGCGUGGGGGAUGACGGCCUUCGGGUUGUAAACUCCUUUCGCUAGGGACGAAGCGCAAGUGACGGUACCUGGAGAAGAAGCACCGGCUAACUACGUG